CGGCGCGGUAGCCAAGUGGUAAGGCAGAGGCCUGUAAAACCUUUAUUCGUGGGUUCGAUUCCCACCCGCGCAUCCA
rnacentral:tRNA from 1 species